GAGGAGAAACAUGGGCCCGAGA
rnacentral:siRNA from 1 species